rnacentral:rRNA from 1 species
UAUCAAUUUAAGCGGAGGAAAAGAAACCAACAGGGAUUGCCCUAGUAACGGCGAGUGAAGCGGCAACAGCUCAAAUUUGAAAUCUGGCUCUUUCAGAGUCCGAGUUGUAAUUUGCAGAGGGCGCUUUGGCUUUGGCAGCGGUCCAAGUUCCUUGGAACAGGACGUCACAGAGGGUGAGAAUCCCGUACGUGGUCGCUAGCUAUUGCCGUGUAAAGCCCCUUCGACGAGUCGAGUUGUUUGGGAAUGCAGCUCUAAAUGGGAGGUAAAUUUCUUCUAAAGCUAAAUAUUGGCCAGAGACCGAUAGCGCACAAGUAGAGUGAUCGAAAGAUGAAAAGCACUUUGGAAAGAGAGUCAAACAGCACGUGAAAUUGUUGAAAGGGAAGCGCUUGCAGCCAGACUUGCUUGCAGUUGCUCAUCCGGGCUUUUGCCCGGUGCACUCUUCUGUAGGCAGGCCAGCAUCAGUUUGGGCGGUGGGAUAAAGGUCUCUGACACGUUCCUUCCUUCGGGUUGGCCAUAUAGGGGAGACGACAUACCACCAGCCUGGACUGAGGUCCGCGCAUCUGCUAGGAUGCUGGCGUAAUGGCUGUAAGCGGCCCGUCUGAAA